CCUACGGGUGGCAGCAGUGGGGAAUAUUGCACAAUGGGCGCAAGCCUGAUGCAGCGACGCCGCGUGCGGGAUGGAGGCCUUCGGGUUGUAAACCGCUUUUGUUCAAGGGCAAGGCACGGUCUUUGGCCGUGUUGAGUGGAUUGUUCGAAUAAGCACCGGCUAACUACGUGCCAGCAGCCGCGGUAAUACGUAGGGUGCAAGCGUUAUCCGGAUUUAUUGGGCGUAAAGGGCUCGUAGGCGGUUCGUCGCGUCCGGUGUGAAAGUCCAUCGCUUAACGGUGGAUCCGCGCCGGGUACGGGAGGGCGGGAGUGCGGUAGGGGAGACUGGAAGUCCCGGUGUAACGGGGGAAGGGGGAGAGAUCGGGAAGAACACCAAUGGAGAAGGCAGGUCUCUGGGCCGUUACUGACGCGGAGGAGCGAAAGCGUGGGGAGCGAACAGGAUUAGAUACCCGUGUAGUC
rnacentral:rRNA from 1 species